ACCUGUUGUUGCUCGCAAGGUUCAUCCCUCACAAGUACAAGAUCAAAGACUCGAAAGCUUAGGAGUGGUGGGGAGUUGACUAUGAGAUAAAGAAUCAUGCGAUCCACAUUUCCCUACAUGGUGGAGGAUACAGAGCACUCAUUCCGGAGUAUAAUCUUGUCUUGUGUUGCCACCUAUUUAUCACUUGAGCAUAUACAAUGAAUGUUUCUUAAGAUGUCAAUAUUUGCUUAUAAUAUAGUGACUUCCCAGUA